UAGUAUGUUGGUGAUAUAAGUGAGGUGACCUCUCUUGUUAAUUGUAGCAACACAUCCCAGACAGCAGCACACAGACAGGUGUCAUUAGUGUGUUUGAACAUGUUUUUGGAUUUUGAUAAAAUGAUUGGAAUAAUAAUGAUAGUGUACCAGUACGUACUGCUGAUGUGCGACUUCGUGCAUCUGGUGGUUAUAGCAGCAUUUCUGACGGCUAAAUCCAUGUGGUAUCUUCUGUUUCCUCCUCCAAUGAAGUCUGUCACCGGAGAAAUUAUUUUGGUGACUGGAGCGGGUCAUGGCAUUGGACGAGAGCUGGGACUUCAGUUUGCCCGGAUGGGAGCCAAAGUUGUGUGCCUGGACAUUAACGAGGCAAACAACACGAAGACAGUAACAGACAUCAAGCGGGAGGGUGGAAAUGCCUGGGGUUAUAAAUGUGACGUCAGCAGUCAGGAGGAGGUUCAGGAGGUGUCUAGGAAGAUCCGUCAGGAGGCUGGGGAGGUGACCAUCCUAGUGAAUAAUGCUGCCAUCAUGCCCUGUAAACCCUUCAUCAAGCACACCUCAGGGGACAUAAAGAACAUCUUCAACGUGAACCUUUUUGCUCACUUCUGGACUUUGCAAGAAUGGUUGCCUUCAUUUCUUGCAGCUGGCCGUGGUCAUGUUGUUGCUGUGUCGUCCAUUGCUGGCCUCAUGGCAACCUCUAACAUUGUACCAUAUUGUUCAUCAAAGUAUGCUGUCAAGGGUUUGAUGGAUGGCAUGACUGAAGAGCUGCGUUAUGGUGGCAGGAACCCAAAUAUCAAAUUUACUUGUGUUCAUCCAUUCAUUAUUGACACUGGUCUUACUAAGAAACCUCGAAUUAGGUUCCCAUCUUUCAACCCCAUCACCACACCAGAAACCUGUGCUGCCAAGAUCAUUGAAGGUGUCUGCAGGGAAGAGGAGGUUGUGUGCAUUCCUUCUAGGGAUUAUUAUGGACACAUAAUAAUGGGAUGAGCAAGUUGUGCCUUCCAUAUCUGGUUGCAUCAUCCAGAUCUUCCCUGUUUGCUGGCUGUACUGCUGCUGCCACGAGAAGUACGAAAAGCAUUCUUGGACUUCAUGGACACAGGAGUGGAUGAGGAUUGUUAAUUGUUACCAGUUCCUCUGUAUUUGAAGAAGUGAAGCACUAUUGUUACCACACUUUCAUCAUCAUUGUGUAGGUGCUCUUCAGUUAAGUUUUUCCAUUUUGGUCAAUGUGCUGAAACAGAUGAAUAUUUGUUUGCUCACAAAAGUAUGUGAAACUUACUUAAAGUUAUCAACAGGUUUUACUUUUAAUUGGUUACAGACAUUGAUAUUUUUCGAUGUGAAAUAGUAAGACUAACUCUCUUACAAGUAGAUUGAACAUUUUGAGUAAAGGUUUUGGUUAGUGUCUGAAUGGUAACUAUAGGCUGUGAUGAUAGUGAUGAUGCCCAUUCCACUUAAAAUUAAAAACAUAAAGGUUCACUGUGAAGUACUUGGAAAUCGAACAACUUGAAACAUAUAGGAAUGACUGUAGUAAUUACUCUUCCAUAAUUUACAAUGGACUUUAUUUAGUAUUAGUUCACUAACACUCCCUGCCAAAUCCGUUACUAAUACAGUACGGGUAAUCAGAAACUUGAUAAAAUACUGUACUUAGAAAAUGGUGACUGCAGUUGUAGGGUGAAAAAGAAGGAUGUUGGUAGCUUAGUGUCUUGCUCAGUAUUGUUCAGGCUCUAUAUAUAAAAUACUGUGCAAUAUAUGUAAAGGAUGAUGGUUUUUAUCAGUAUAUAUAUCCAGUAUAUACAGAAUCACUAAAAGGCAAAAUUUUAUUAUAUCUGAUGUAUUUAUUUUGUCAGUGCAAGAGUUGCUAAUCCUUGGACCCAGAACCUAGUGUAACCUAACUUUACCUACCUAUCCUAACCUAAGGUAUCCCAUCCCAAACUUAAUCUAAUCAAACUUAAACUUGCACAAGUUAACCUGUCCCAAAUGUAACCUAGCUUAAGUUAACUCACCUCUAGCUUAACUUUAUCACUCAGCUAACCCAACUUACCCCUGAUAUAACCUAACCCAUUACUCUGCCUUAGUAUGACCUAAUUUGACCUACCCACACUGUAACCUGACAACCUACCCUAAAGUGCCUUCAACUUAACCUAACAAAGCUCCUUAACCUACACCUUACAAGCUAACGUCAGGUAAUCAGUUCCAUGGGUGUAUUGUGUAAGGUCAUGUUCACACUUGAGGGUCUUAGUAUAAGGAAUAGUUUAGUUUUUGUAGUGAAUAAAUAUGCCAGACUGUGUUAUAUGAAGUUCCUUGUAAUUUUAAGAAACUUAUUUUUAUGUACCAAGAAAAACAGUUAUUAUGUUAGAAUAAGGAUCAAUUUUAUUAUAACCUAUUCAGUGAUGAGGUAAUAGGGUGUAUUUAAUAAGUUUAAGAGGAAGUAAUUAGUUUCAUAUUGUGUGAGGAAGAUAAUUGGAGAGUCAGAGCAUACUGUGACAAGAUCCCUGUGUACUGUAUAAUGGAUGUUGAGUCAUGGCAUGCAGGUAAUCUUAUUUUGUUACCUGUAUGAUCCCAAAGCCAUUAUUUAUUUUAUUCGGGUAACUUUAUGUAUGUUUUAUAUUUUUUUAUCAUUAUUAGAAUUUUAGUAUGUAACCAUCCCACCGAGCAUGAUUAACCCGUAAACUGUGUCUAUAGCGAUUUACCUGUCAACCACUCAGUGCACACAAACAAACACUUGCAGUAUAUAAAUUUUCUCCAAACAUCUUUUUAACUCUUGUGAAUUAAAAGCCAGCACAGCAUUAUAGAAGAAUGGGGAAUCAAAUAUGAGUCCAUUACCUACCUUAGUUUUGCCCCGGUAAAUUCGUGCACAAUAGGAGACAUCACUUCAUUGUCAAAAAAGAAAGUAAAAUAUUCCAUUUCAGUCGGUGUCAUCACAAGACCAGUCUCGAGUACACCAGCAAUUCUGUCAUCAAAAUAAUGGAUGUCUGGCACAAAAUCUGACCCAUCAGUCCACACAAAGGGUGGCAAGGUCAUGUCGCACGGUGGGGCACUUGCCCCCACCUCCUCUUCCCUGGCCUCCCCUACCUCCUCCACUGUCACUCCCAGAACCCUUUUCCUCACCAACACUCUCGUUAUCCCAAUCAUCGUUGUCAGAUAAGGAGGACAUGGACUCAUCUGUUUUAUAAACUGUGGGGGCAAACUUAGGGGGUGUAAGGUUUUCCAUUUUUUCAGAUAGAACAGAAUGGCACUUAGUGGUAACAAGUGUGGAGGCAUCCCUUCUCCACCCUGUAUGGCAACAUCAGUCUGAGUAGCACAUUUUUUCUUUUUCCCUCCCUCACUUCACUCGCUGUCCUGCUCUUACUUCUAGCUUCGUUGUCUCAAGUAGGCAGAGCAACAGCUGUUGAUGGAAGCGUGAUUUUGUGUUAUGAAGUCUUGAGACUAGGACGCACGUCUUGCCUCCAUCACGACCGAGAUAUGACUGCUUUAUUAAUGGCGCUGGUGGGAGGAGUACUCAGUGGAAAAGCUGCAAUGUGUAAACAUCCUAUACUUGACCCCGGGAGAUAAUAAAAAUAUUUGCGCUUUGCAUUCCAGAAUGUAUAUUGCACUCCUCCGCUAAUCAUUUGAGAGUGUGUCACAGUUUACGGGUUUACCUUCAUCACUGUUGUUGUCAGGGUCACUGGUCACACCAUACAUUCCACUCUUGUGUUUAUUGUGUAUGGACUGUAGUUAUUUGAAAGUUGUUUACCAGUUGAGGGAAGAUGUUGACCAUGGCAUUAUUUUUGCUAACAUUUUUAUUAGAACAAAUGUACAGUAUUUAUUUUCCUGGAUUUUUUGCAUUCCAUAGUCCUCAACUUAAUGAACAACUCAUCUGA
rnacentral:misc_RNA from 1 species